GCGGGUGCAGAGGGCUCACGCUGCUGGGAGCCCAUGGACCUCAGCCACGGCGGGCCCGGGGACAGACCUCCAGGAGGCCUGCUGGGGGAACAGAUCCGGCCUCCGUCCCACCACUUCUCCCCCGAGCAGCGGGCCCUGCUCUACGAGGACGCACUCUACACUGUCUUGCACCGCCUGGGUCAGCCUGAGCCCAACCAUGUGACGGAGGCCUCUGAGCUGCUGCGAUACCUGCAGGAGGCCUUCCACGUGGAGCCCGAGGAGCACCAGCAGAUGCUGCAGCGAGUCAGGGAGCUUGAGAAGCCAAUAUUUUGUCUGAAGGCAACAGUGAAACAGGCCAAGGGCAUUCUGGGCAAAGAUGUCAGUGGGUUCAGCGACCCCUACUGCCUGCUGGGCAUUGAGCAGGGGGUAGGUGUGCCGGGGGGCAGCCCCGGGUCCCGGCAGCGGCAGAAGGCUGUGGUGAGGCACACCAUCCCCGAGGAGGAGACCCACCGCACGCAGGUCAUCACCCAGACACUCAACCCCGUCUGGGACGAGACCUUCAUCCUGGCCCUCAACCAUGCCCUUUUCGCCAUACAGGGAGUUUGAGGACAUCACCAAUGCGAGCUUUCAUCUGGACAUGUGGGACCUGGACACUGUGGAGUCUGUCCGACAGAAGCUU
rnacentral:sRNA from 1 species